rnacentral:tRNA from 1 species
GCUGGGGUGGCGGAAUAGGCAGACGCGCAUGGUUGAGGGCCAUGUGGGAGUUAAUCCCGUGCGGGUUCAAGUCCCGCCCCCAGCA